CCGGUGACGAAAGCGUUGAUGGUUCGGUCCCGGGCAAUGGGACCCCGCGAACCGUGUCAGGACCGGGAGGUAGCAGCACUAAGCGGGUAACCCCAUGUGCUACGGGGUAGCCGAGCCGGAGCUGACGGCCGG
rnacentral:SRP_RNA from 1 species